UGGGAAGACCUGCCGGAGCUUCCCCGCGCCACCUACGACGAGGAGCCGCUAGGAACCUCCCCACCACCGUGCUGCUACCCUGAGGAACCCCCGGAGCAGAGUUGGCCGGACUUCCCCGAGGACCUACCAGAUCUACCCCCCAGCCCGGGGGGUGAGGAACCCAUGCAGUGGGACUUCCCGGGACUGGAUGCCGUGGACCAGAUAUAACAGGACCGAUCCUCAGCUGGUAGAAACCAGUGUAGCCCUAUUGAUUACCAUGCCCUUUUGACCAGUUGAGAAUCCAACUCAUUACAGGAAACAGCAACAGAUCCAGGCUACGAGGUCAAGGUGCGAUCACAGGUGUUCAAGUGGGCAUGUGUCAGUAUUGUCCCACCUACCUACACUGAAGGGAAACAGGUGCAGUCCUCAGCAUGGAGGAAUGGGAUGUGCAUGACAGAGGGAUCCCCCCACCCAAACCGUAGGUUUGCCAGCUUUGACAUGACCCUUUAAAGGCUGCUUCCCCACUGUAAACAUUCAUCAAUAUUCUGAAUCUAUUUGGAGACAACUUUGUUUAUAUCUCAA